CAGCAGCCGCGGUAAUACGUAGGUGGCAAGCGUUGUCCGGAAUUAUUGGGCGUAAAGGGCUCGCAGGCGGUUUCUUAAGUCUGAUGUGAAAGCCCCCGGCUCAACCGGGGAGGGUCAUUGGAAACUGGGAAACUUGAGUGCAGAAGAGGAGAGUGGAAUUCCACGUGUAGCGGUGAAAUGCGUAGAGAUGUGGAGGAACACCAGUGGCGAAGGCGACUCUCUGGUCUGUAACUGACGCUGAGGAGCGAAAGCGUGGGGAGCGAACAGGAUUAGAGACCCGCGUAGUCCCUGUCUCUUAUAC
rnacentral:rRNA from 1 species